GACCCCGUGGCCUAAUGGAUAAGGCGUCUGACUUCGAAUCAGAAGAUUGCGGGUUCAAGUCCCGUCGGGGUCG
rnacentral:tRNA from 1 species